GAGAAACACAGUCCACAGACAGAGUGUGGGCCAUCUCAGAAGGCAAGAGGCCCUGAAAUAUGGCAUGUUUUUCUGUACCUGGAACUCAGUUAAAGGACAAAUCUAGAAUUUAGAAGACUGAAUAGAGACCUCUGGAGAGAUUGAGAAAUUUCUCUCCCAGAGGACAAAGUAAAUGAAUAUAGAUAUCAAACACCUGCCAUCAUCAACAGCAAAUACAUAUUCUUGUCAAGUGUGCCCUGGGUUCUGAGGGUUUAGAAGUCCUAUUUCUCCAAGGUAUACAACAGGUUCACCAUGGACACAGCAAGAGCUUUAUUGAAUUAUAAGCUGUGUCAUCUGCCUGGAACUUUGGGCUUCCCCUGUUCAGGGGCUAGCAGAUGAGAAGAUUCAUCACAGGGGCAAUCGACUUGCUUUAUCAGAAGCCUCUAGAAAUUGCAGC